CGUCAUCUUUCUCUGAAUCGGGUCGCCUCGACUGAAGCUACGCAAACGGAGAGCGCUGCUUCCUUCUUCCCUGGCGCAUUCCACUUGCCUUCUCGGAAGGCAGGUGAGCUUGGACUUGCAAGAUCGACCUUUUUUGUCCCUUUUUGUGCGAGAUUACCGAUGUUCUCGGUUCUCGACACUUUUUGGUUUCUGCACGCUACUUACAUCUGCAUAUUUUUGUACCAAACCUACAAUUGUCCGUCGCAAAUGUGGAAUGAAUCUAGGUGUCAAACCCAUCGCUUUAUCAAGUUAGAACAAGGGAUCAAGGAAAUCCAGGUUCUGGUUAGGGUAUCCCAUGUCAUGUCGACGCGGAUCGCAGAGGAUAACCCUAGAGUUUGUGUGGCAAAGAUCUCAAUGGGGUCUAUUUGAAGGUACUGCUUCUCGCUCUUCCGGCCAGAGGACAAUGUACGCCGCCGAAUGCACUUCAUCCAUGCCGUCAAGGGGACAGUAGCUCCUGCAUCAGAUUAUGCACCAUUUGGUAACGGAUCGAUCGAUCGGUUUUAGACGAUGCAAUGUAGUCGAUACUAUUGUAAUUUAUCUUUUUGUUUCCUGGCUUAUGAAAUCAUAUGAGCCAUUGCUAACAGAUGAAGCUUUAGUGAUCAUUUAUUAGCUCAAUCAAAUCUUUCACAACCUUAAGCUAACUUUGAGGGAUUGGUCAGCACCAGUAGAUUGCUUUGAAGGCACAAACACAAGCCAAAAUUGAAGGAUUCACAGAUGUUACAUAUCUUGAUUCUGUUAAGACGAAAUAUUGGGGGUGUAAAGGGGGAUGCCAUGUCAACACAAGUUGCAUCAGGAACUAUUUUAUGAGGGAUCAAACGCAAAAGUAUCAUCUGAAAUUGCUAUUGAUCAGGUGACGCAUGUCGACCCAGCAGAAUAAACCGGCGCCGCCUUCCAGGCACCCGAUACCCAUCGCCUCCAGCCCCUGCACCAGCCUCCGCCGCCGCUCCCUCAGCCGCCUCUGGUUCUCCGCAAUGUACCUC